AACAAAUCCGUCACAAUACAAACUGUUAAAUUUGGGAAACCCUAGCACAAAAAGUGCAAUCAUGUGCUAGUCAUAUUUUCCAACAAAGUUAGUAAUUAUUUCCAUGAAUCUAAAAGUUCAGCCAAAAAUGAUCUCUGAAGUCUCUAAUCACAAUUUCAUAAAACAAAUCUAAGCUAAAGAUAAUAAUACAAGAUUAAGUACAGGACAAUCAACUACUUUAACAUGGAAUAAACUUGAAGUAUCAAACUGAAAAAGACAAUUCUAAUGCAGAAAAGCUUGUAGAGAACACUGCCAUAUUUACAUGAUGGCCUCAAAUAAAUAUCUAAAUUUAAAACAUCAAGCUUUUGACCUUGCGGCAGGAGGUUUCCAUUUCCCUAAUCUCUCCUACUAUGCUUCCUGUUUCUUUCAUCCCUAUCAUUUCUACUUCGCUUCCUGCUUCUUUCAUCCCUAUCACCUCUACUCCUGCUUCUUUCAUCCCCAUCACUUCUACUCCGCUUCACGUGUCUUUCAUCCUCAUCAGAACUUGAUGAAUCUGACUCUGAUUCAGACUCCGAACCACCAGACCCUGAUUCAUCAUCUGAUUCAGAUUCUGACUCAGAUUCUGAGACAGGUUUUUGCUGUUGCAUGAUAAGCCGUGGCAUAUUCUUCAAGUAUUCGCGCAAAUUUUCGGUGAUGCCACCAAGCCCGAUGGAUGUGAAGAAAUUGAUGGAAAAGCGUGUAUUCUUUGGAUUAUCUCUAGGGAAAAUAGAUUCAAAUGAGUCUUGCAUGGCAGGAUCUGUAAGGCGCUCAUUCAAUGUGCGGAUUCCCAGAUGCUCUGACAACUCCUGGAAGAGAAUCUUGAUAAAUAUACGAGAAGAGGAAGUGGUGUCCUCUUCAGUUAACCGUAUAUAGGCCAAUACAUGCCAAGGCAGGGCAUCAGUACCAAGUAAAUGGGCAAAAAACUUUGCCACAUUACGUAACUUAUUUGUUUCUAGCCGAUGAAUCAUGGAAUAUUGUUGAACAAAGCAUUUCUCAAAAUUUUCUUGGUAGACUUUGUUGAUCAUGCAAAAUCGCUGCCCCAAAAGACCAUAGUACCGGAGAUAAGUUCUCUCCUGACUGCAACAUUCCAAAAGCAUGAUGCAUAAUUCCAUCUCCUGUCCUGGCUCAAGUUUAAUUUUCAGUAACUUGUGGCCAGCCUCCUCAAAAUCUACACUGGACAUGAUAGUUAGAUAAAUUGUCCUCCGAAGAUUUACAAGAUUAGUUUCAGUCUCAUCUUUUAUUUGCAUCUGUUGUUCGUCGUCGUCCUCCUCCUCCUCCAUAGCUGCUUACUCCUUCCGAAUCCAUUAGUAGCAGUAGCAGAAGAUUCAUCAUCAGCAAUCAUAUCAAGAUUCCAACAAUACCUCCAAAUCGACACUGCCCAACCCAACCCCGGAUACCACGAAGCAGCCGAUUUCCUUAUUUCUCAGGCUAAAUCCAUCGGCCUCGAAUUCCAAUCCAUUGAGUUCGUCGAUGGCAAGCCACUUGUUCUCCUCAAGUGGGCUGGCUCUCAACCUACCCUCCCCUCUAUCCUCCUUUAUUCUCAUACCGAUGUCGUCCCGGUCGAGCAGCACAAGUGGGCAUACCCUGCCUUUGGUGCCCACCUGGAUUCCCAUGGUAACAUCUAUGCUAGAGGUUCCCAGGACAUGAAGUGCGUUGGUAUGCAGUAUUUGGAAGCUGUUCGCCGCUUGAAGUCUUCUGGGUUCCAGCCGAUUCGAUCCAUUUACCUAGCUUUUGCCCCCGAUGAAGAAAUAGGCGGCCAUGAUGGUGCUGAGAAGUUUGCUGAUUCUGAUAUCUUCAGGACCAUGAAUGUGGGAAUAGUGCUCGAUGAAGGAUUAGCAUCGCCGUCUGAGAAGUACAGGCCGUUCUUUGCAGAGAGGAGCCCAUGGUGGCUGGUGAUCAAGGCCUUUGGGGCUCCAGGCCAUGGAGCGAAGCUUUAUGACAAUAGUGCAAUGGAAAAUCUUUUGAAAAGCAUUGAGAGUGUGAGGAGAUUUCGGGCUUCUCAGUUUGAUUUGGUGAAGUCUGGUUUGAAGGAGGAGGGUGAGGUUAUUUCUGUUAACAUGGUCUUUCUUAAGGCUGGCACUCCAUCUCCAACUGGAUUUGUCAUGAAUUUGCAGCCAUCUGAAGCAGAAGCAGGUUUUGAUAUUCGGGUUCCACCAACUGCUGAUCCUGAAUCAUUGGAAAGGCGAAUUGCUGAAGAAUGGGCACCUGUUUCACGCAACAUGACGUACCAGGUGCUAAUAAACUCAUUGAAACAUUUAAUAUCCCUAGUUGUCUUGUAUCAGGAAAAAAGUGAAACACAGUUUCUUUGCUCAUGGCUGGCUACCAGUGAUAAUUUCUGCAUAGAAGGUAUUGAUGUUUAUGCAUAAAUCAUUUAGCAAAAAUUUUUUUGGAUUGUAUUUAGUAAUUAACUUUGAAGAGAAUCUAUUUUAUCUUCACACACUAUAUGAAUUGAGAUUGGCCAUUUCCAAAAAAAUAGAAAAUGGAAGGAGCAAAAGUUGUUCAAUUUUGAUUAUGACGCUGAAGGAUGUUAUAUCCAUGUUUAGGAUCAUUUUUGGUGUGACUAGCAUUAGCUAAUGGCCUUUUCAAUCUAGUGUGGCUAGUAAUAAGAGCCUAUCCUAUAGCACAAGGCCACCUGAAUCUUUUGCAAAUAUUUUGAUAAACAUAUUUUAAGAAUUGGUGAUGCAAGAGAAGUAAACUUGAUUUUCUGGUUUAAGGUUACUGUUUAUCAGAAAGUACUGUUCUCUGAAUAUACAGCGUGUAAGAACAUAUGGUUAUAAGAAGGAUGAAUGUGAUUGUAGAUAUAUGCCUAUCUUAAGUAGUUAAUGGAAAAGGCUUCCCUUUUGAAUAUGGUAUGGCAUGCAUGUAAAACAUGUGACUAGGAACAACUUUGCUAUGCAUGUUUUUCUAAUUACUUUUGUAGCUUGGGCAGUUUAAGCAGAAAGCUACCGUUUAUGACAGCUUUGGGAGGCCACUCCUUACAAAGACUGACAAUUCUAACCCAUGGUGGGCCUUGCUUGAAGAAGCUGUCAAAAAAGCAAAUGGAAAACUUGGUAAACCAGAGAUCUUUCCUGCUGCCACAGAUUCUCGUUACUUCCGCUUAAAAGGGCUACCAUCAAUCGGUUUCUCCCCCAUGGCAAACACACCUAUUCUUCUGCAUGAUCAUAAUGAGUUCCUGAACCGAGCCCAGUACCUGAAAGGCAUUGAUAUCUACGAGUCGAUAAUUAAAGUUUAUACAUCUUAUGUCGUCCAGGCCAGCAAUGAAGGCACCAAAGAUGAAUUGUAAGGUAGCUCUGAUCAUUACACAUCUUCAAGGCCACACGUUAUGCAAGUUUCUGUUCUUGUAAAAUAAUGAUUUAGAUUAGAUGCAUGGAUUGGUGAUGUAUCAAUAAUUAGGCAAAACUGGAUAAGAGCAGAACUUAAUUCAUCUUCAUGUCAUUGCCCUUCAAAUUUUCAAAAUAUUAUUUCUUAACUCUUAUUAAUUCAUUCCAAAACAAUUAUGCAGCCCAUGUCUAUGAA
rnacentral:misc_RNA from 1 species